rnacentral:rRNA from 1 species
AUGCACGCUGGCGGCGUGCUUCACACAUGCAAGUCGAACGGAAAGGCUCCUGCUUGCAGGGGUACUCGAGUGGCGAACGGGUGAGUAACACGUGGGUGAUCUGCCCUGCACUUCGGGAUAAGCCUGGGAAACUGGGUCUAAUACCGGAUAGGACGAUGGUUUGGAUGCCAUUGUGGAAAGUUUUUCGGUGUGGGAUGAGCUCGCGGCCUAUCAGCUUGUUGGUGGGGUAAUGGCCUACCAAGGCGUCGACGGGUAGCCGGCCUGAGAGGGUGUACGGCCACAUUGGGACUGGGAUACGGCCCAGACUCCUACGGGAGGCAGCAGUGGGGAAUAUUGCACAAUGGGCGCAAGCCUGAUGCAGCGACGCCGCGUGGGGGAUGACGGCCUUCGGGUUGUAAACUCCUUUCGCUAGGGACGAAGCGUUUUGUGACGGUACCUGGAGAAGAAGCACCGGCUAACUACGUG